rnacentral:rRNA from 1 species
UGGGGAAUAUUGGACAAUGGGGGAAACCCUGAUCCAGCAAUGCCGCGUGAGUGAAGAAGGCCUUAGGGUUGUAAAGCUCUUUCGCCCGCGAAGAUAAUGACGGUAGCGGGAGAAGAAGCCCCGGCUAACUCCGUGCCAGCAGCCGCGGUAAUACGGAGGGGGCUAGCGUUGUUCGGAAUUACUGGGCGUAAAGCGUACGUAGGCGGAUGCGCAAGUUGGGGGUGAAAUCCCGGGGCUUAACCUCGGAAUUGCCCUCAAAACUGCACGUCUUGAGACCGAGAGAGGUAAGGGGAAUUCCUAGUGUAGAGGUGAAAUUCGUAGAUAUUAGGAAGAACACCAGUGGCGAAGGCGCCUUACUGGCUCGGUACUGACGCUGAGGUACGAAAGCGUGGAUAGCGAACA